GUAGGGGGCAAGCGUUAUCCGGAUUUACUGGGUGUAAAGGGAGCGUAGACGGAGCAGCAAGUCUGAUGUGAAAACCCGGGGCUCAACCCCGGGACUGCAUUGGAAACUGUUGAUCUGGAGUGCCGGAGAGGUAAGCGGAAUUCCUAGUGUAGCGGUGAAAUGCGUAGAUAUUAGGAGGAACACCAGUGGCGAAGGCGGCUUACUGGACGGUAACUGACGUUGAGGCUCGAAAGCGUGGGGAGCAAACAGGAUUAGAUACCCUGGUAGUCCACGCCGUAAACGAUGACUACUAGGUGUCGGGUGGCAAAGCCAUUCGGUGCCGCAGCCAACGCAAUAAGUAGUCCACCUGGGGAGU
rnacentral:rRNA from 1 species